rnacentral:rRNA from 1 species
GAUGAAGAACGCAGCAAAAUGCGAUAAGUAAUGUGAAUUGCAGAAUACGUGAAUCAUCAAAUCUUCGAACGCAUAUUGCACUUUUUUAGUUUACUAAAAAAGUAUGUCUGUUUGAGUAUCA